rnacentral:rRNA from 1 species
AUUGAACGCUAGCGGGAUGCCUUACACAUGCAAGUCGAACGGCAGCGCGGACUUCGGUCUGGCGGCGAGUGGCGAACGGGUGAGUAAUGUAUCGGAACGUGCCCAGUAGCGGGGGAUAACUACGCGAAAGCGUAGCUAAUACCGCAUACGCCCUACGGGGGAAAGCAGGGGAUCGUAAGACCUUGCACUAUUGGAGCGGCCGAUAUCGGAUUAGCUAGUUGGUGAGGUAACGGCUCACCAAGGCGACGAUCCGUAGCUGGUUUGAGAGGACGACCAGCCACACUGGGACUGAGACACGGCCCAGACUCCUACGGGAGGCAGCAGUGGGGAAUUUUGGACAAUGGGGGCAACCCUGAUCCAGCCAUCCCGCGUGUGCGAUGAAGGCCUUCGGGUUGUAAAGCACUUUUGGCAGGAAAGAAACGUCGCGGGCUAAUACCCCGUGGAACUGACGGUACCUGCAGAAUAAGCACCGGCUAACUACGUG